rfam:Gossypium hirsutum cultivar TM-1 chromosome 22, whole genome shotgun sequence
AACUCAUGGUGAGGACACCUUCUCAAUAAAUCCUUGUAUCUCUCCCAUGCAUUAUAUAAGGUCUUUGUAUCGAUCUGAACAAAGGAAGAGAUGUCGUUCCUCAACUU